UGGGGAAUUUUGGACAAUGGGCGCAAGCCUGAUCCAGCCAUGCCGCGUGCGGGAAGAAGGCCUUCGGGCUGUAAACCGCUUUUGUCAGGGAAGAAAUCUUCUGAGUUAAUACCUCGGGAGGAUGACGGUACCUGAAGAAUAAGCACCGGCUAACUACGUGCCAGCAGCCGCGGUAAUACGUAGGGUGCAAGCGUUAAUCGGAAUUACUGGGCGUAAAGCGUGCGCAGGCGGUUUUGUAAGACAGAGGUGAAAUCCCCGGGCUCAACCUGGGAACUGCCUUUGUGACUGCAAGGCUUGAGUGCGGCAGAGGGGGAUGGAAUUCCGCGUGUAGCAGUGAAAUGCGUAGAUAUGCGGAGGAACACCGAUGGCGAAGGCAAUCCCCUGGGCCUGCACUGACGCUCAUGCACGAAAGCGUGGGGAGCAAACAGGAUUAGAUAGCCCCUGGUAGUCCACGCCCUAAAACGAUGUCAACUGGUUGUUGGGAAGGUUCCUUCUCAGUAACGUAGCUAACGCGUGAAGUUGACCGCCUGGGGAGUACGGCCGCAAGGUUGAAACUCAAAUGAAUUGACGGGGUCAUAAGCAUG
rnacentral:rRNA from 1 species